GAUCGUUUAUGUAUAGAACGAAGAUAAGAGGCCCGAGUACGCUUCCUUGAGGAACUCCAGAUGUAAUGUUAAACGAUGCCGAGACUUCGUGAUCAACUUGUACGAAAGCUAUCCGCCCGGUGAAACCAGUUCGGCUGCGCAUCCCUUGACGAUGAAUGGCGUCAAUCCAUCCACACCAGGUCCUUUGGAAACAUCCAGAUCGUUCAGCGCUUCGAAAACGUCUCUAGUAGUAAAACGGAAAUGAGGAAGAUACACAUCAUACGAAGGUGUGAGACGGAAUGUUUCCGUAUUCGAUGCUGGAGAUGUGGAUCGGAAAACAGUUUGAAAAAAUUCAGCAAACAGGUUGGCGGCUUCUUUGGCUGUGCUUGCUCGGCGUCCUUUAUAUUCCACAUUGCAUGGAAUGCGUUUCGAUGAUUUUUGAGCUCUAACAAAAGCCCAAAAAGAUGAAGGAUUCAACUUCAAAUCAGAUUGGAGCUUAUCUACGAUGUUGCUGUUUUCUUCAGAUCUGGCACUAAAGAAUCGAUUGCGGGCUUUACGAAGCUUGUUGCGCAAGUGACGGAGCUCGGGCGUCCACCAAGGUUUACGGGU